GACAGAGGUGCCGAGCGUUAGGCGGAAAUCACUGGGCUUAAAGCGUGUGUAGGCGGGCCGUUAAGUGUCGUUGUGAAAUCCCCCCGGCUCAACCGGGGAAUUGCCGGGCAUACUGGCGGUCUUGAGCAAUCUAGGGGCAGAUGGAACAAGUGGUGGAGCGGUGAAAUGCGUAGAUAUCACUUGGAACGCCGAAGGUGAAAACAGGUUGCUGGGGUUGUGCCGACGCUGGAGACACGAAAGCCAGGGGAGCAAACGGG
rnacentral:rRNA from 1 species